rnacentral:rRNA from 1 species
UACGUAGGGGGCAAGCGUUGUCCGGAUUUAUUGGGCGUAAAGAGCGUGUAGGCGGCCAGGUAGGUCCGUUGUGAAAACUCGAGGCUCAACCUCGAGACGCCGAUGGAAACCACCUGGCUAGAGUCCGGAAGAGGAGAGUGGAAUCCUGGUGUAGCGGGUGAAAUGCGCAGAUAUCAGGAAGAACACCCGUGGCUAAGGCGGCUCUCUAGUACGGUACUGACGCUGAGACGCGAAAGCGUGGGGAGCGAACAGG